rnacentral:hammerhead_ribozyme from 1 species
GUCAGUUGAGGAGUUCCACAAUAGGACGAAACGGUCGUCCAGUAC